UACGUAGGAUGCAAGCGUUGUCCGGAAUUAUUGGGCGUAAAGAGCGCGCAGGCGGUAUGACAAGUCAGAUGUGAAAGAGGCCGGCUUAACCGGCAAGGGUCAUUUGAAACUGUCAGACUAGAGUGCAGCAGAGGAUAGUGGAAUUCCCGGUGUAGUGGUGAAAUGCGUAGAUAUCGGGGAGGAACACCAGUGGCGAAGGCGACUAUCUGGGCUGCAACUGACGCUGAGGCGCGAAGGCUAGGGUAGCAAACAGG
rnacentral:rRNA from 1 species